ensembl:ncRNA Y53C10A.19 ncRNA
UUAGGCUUAGUCUUAGGUUUAGGCUUAGGCUUAGGCUUCGACUUAGACAAAGGCUUAGGCUUAGGCUCAGGCUU